UCUCCGUUGUGAACCAGCGGAGGGAUCAUUACAGGAUCGAAAGACUCCUAUAACCCCUGUGAACUUACUACAAAUACGUUGCUUCGGCGGGUGCCCCGGGUCUCCCGGGGCGUUCAGCCCGCCGGCAGCCUUCAAAUUCUGUUUCUUUGCGUUGGCAUCUCGAGUAUACAAAAAUAAGUUAAAACUUUCAACAACGGAUCUCUUGGUUCUG
rnacentral:misc_RNA from 1 species